AGUGACGCUACGCUGGCGGCGCGCCUAACACAUGCAAGUCGAGGGAGAAGCUUACUUUCGGGUGAGUGGAGACCGGCGAACGGGUGAGUAGCACGUGAGGAACCUGCCCUGAGGUUUGGAAUAACCAGUGGAAACGUUGGCUAAUGCCGGAUAUGACUGCGCCCCGCAUGGGGUCGUGGGUGGAUAAGCUUUGGCGUCUCGGGAUGGUCUCGCGGCCUAUCAGAUGGUUGGUGGGGUAAUGGCCUACCAAGUCGACGACGGGUAGCUGGAGUGAGAGCUUGUACAGCCACAUUGGGACUGAGACACGGCCCAGACUCCUACGGGAGGCAGCAGUGGGGAAUCUUGCGCAAUGGACGGAAGUCUGACGCAGCGACGCCGCGUGUGGGAGGAAGGCCUUCGGGUUGUAAACCACUUUCGGGAGGGAAGAAGCGUUUUGUGACGGUACCUUCAGAAGAAGCCCCGGCCAACUACGUGCCAGCAGCCGCGGUAAUACGUAGGGGGCGAGCGUUGUCCGGAAUUAUUGGGCGUAAAGGGCUCGUAGGUGGUUCGUUAAGUUAGAUGUGAAAUNGUACGGCUUAACCGUGCACUGGCAUCUGAUACUGGCCGGGCUUGAGGCAGGUAGAGGAGAAUGGAAUGNCCUGGGUGUUAGCCGGGUGGGAAAUUGCCGACAUGAAUAUUUCACG
rnacentral:rRNA from 1 species